rnacentral:rRNA from 1 species
UACGUAGGGGGCGAGCGUUGUCCGGAUUUAUUGGGCGUAAAGAGCGUGUAGGCGGCCAGGUAGGUCUGCUGUGAAAACUCGAGGCUCAACCUCGAGACGUCGGCGGAAACCAUCUGACUAGAGUCCGGAAGAGGAGAGUGGAAUUCCUGGUGUAGCGGUGAAAUGCGCAGAUAUCAGGAAGAACACCCGUGGCGAAGGCGGCUCUCUGGGACGGUACUGACGCUGAGACGCGAAAGCGUGGGGAGCGAACAGG